GGGAUAACUACGGAAAAGCUGUAGCUAAUACUUGCUUUAGCACUCUUGAUUAAGUUCUUGAGUGUGUACUUGUUAAGCCUUUUAAGAAAAAAGUUAUUAACUUAAGGAAUUAUAACAAAGAAGCAACACGUAAAUGGAUUUUCCAUUUUUUAGUGUGUAUCAAUCGAGUUUCUGACCUAUCAGCUUUUGAUGUUAGGGUAUUGGCCUAACAUGGCUAUGACGGGUAACGGGGAAUUAGAGUUCGAUUCCGGAGAGGGAGCCUGAGAAAUAGCUACCACAUCUAAGGAAGGCAGCAGGCGCGUAAAUUACCCAAUUCUAAAGAAGAGAGGUAGUGACAAGAAAUAACAAUACAAGGCCAAUCUGGCUUUGUAAUUGGAAUGAUGGGAAUUUAAAACCUUCCCAAAACUCAAUUGGAGGGCAAGUCUGGUGCCAGCAGCCGCGGUAAUUCCAGCUCCAAUAGCGUAUAUUAAAAUUGUUGCAGUUAAAACGCUCGUAGUUGAAUUUCAAAGAAUCGAUAUUUUAAGUAACGCUUUGUAGAUUAAUCCACAUAACUGAUACUACGUAUCGACUUUGUGCGCAUUUUUCUACUUAUGUGUUCUUUUAAUUAAAAUGAUUCUUUUUAAGAUCUUUCUUUUUUGCUUCGGCAUUUUAGGAGAUCUUGUUACUUUGAGUAAAUUAGAGUGUUCAAAGCAAACAGAUUAUAGCAUCUUUAUGCGUUUGAAUACUACAGCAUGGAAUAACAAAAUUGAACAAGUCAGAAUUUUGUUCUUUUUUCUUAUUUUGGCUUAGUUACGAUUAAUAGGAGUAGCUUGGGGGCAUUUGUAUUCAGAUGUCAGAGGUGAAAUUCUUAGAUUUUCUGGAGACAAACAACUGCGAAAGCAUUCGCCUAAAAUACUUCCAUUAAUCAAGAACGAAAGUUAAGGGAGUGAAGACGAUCAGAUACCGUCGUAAUCUUAACCAUAAACUAUGCCGACUAGGCUUUGGAUGAAAGAUUUUAAAAUAAGAGUUUUUUCUCUGAGGAGUUAAAACUCUUAGAUUGCA
rnacentral:rRNA from 1 species